AGAAUUUAGGAUUUUGGCUAUAUUUUUUGUGGAAGUUUUAUGUGAUUUGGAGUUUUUAUGAAAGCUAUAUAGGCACUUAAAAUUAAGAUAUUGGUUUUGUAUCUAUUGUCACUAUUUUGGACAUAACGCACUCAUAUAGAAAGAAAUGAAGGAUGAAUAAUUGGGGUUGGAGAGAAAAAAAUUUAAUUACACUUUUUACAUAUAAUUUGAUGGAUUCUAAGCUAAGAUGAAGGAAUUAUAGGAAGUUGAAGUCAAAACUUGUAAUCUAAGGGCAAUAAGUGACCUAAUUUAAUAGUUAAUGUGUUUUGAGCCAUAUCUUAAGUAGUGUAAUAAGAUUUUGGCUAAAUAUUUCUAAGAAUGUGUGAUUUUAUAUUAAUAAAAUUUAUACACAAAUUUUGUAGCAUUUGGAGAUUGGAUUUUCGAGAUAUAGAAAAAAUAGUAUUUAGAUGCUUAUAAAUUAGGAUUUAAAGUACUUGCUAGGAUUUUCCAAGAUGCCAGAUGAUAUGUGGUAGGUUUGUAGUUUAUUUUUUUGUGAAAAAGCUUAA
rnacentral:lncRNA from 1 species